CUAUCGUUUGUUUGAUCGUGCCUCUCUAUCGCUUGUUGCGCGCUCUCGCUUGCACGCACAGGCUCAGGCAGAACGCUCAGGAGGAACGCUCAAGCGGAACGCUCAGGCGGAACGCGACACUUUUUCGUGAGCGCUGUCGGUGUUCAUCAAUUUAUAAGACGUUAUCACGUCAAAAAAAAUUUGAACAAAAAAAUUGA